UGGGAUGUGAUGGGGAGCGAAAUUUAGUAGCGAAGUAGGCUGAUUUCACACUGUCAAGAAAAGUCUCUAUCGAGGUUAAAGGUACCCGUACCGCAAACCGACACAGGUGGGUGAGGAGAGUAUCCUAAGGCCCAGCGAGAGAACUGUUGUUAAGGAACUCGGCAAAAUGACCCCGUAACUUAGGGAUAAGGGGUGCCACCAUCAGGUGGCCGCAGAGAAUAGGCCCAAGCGACUGUUUACCAAAAACAUAGGUUUCUGCUAAGUCGCAAGACGAUGUAUAGGAGCUGACGCCUGCCCGGUGCUGGAAGGUUAAGGGGAUCUGUUAGAGCAAUCGAAGCAGUGAACUUAAGCCCCAGUAAACGGCGGGCCGUAACUAUAACGGUCCUAAGGUAGCGAAAUUCCUUGUCGGGUAAGUUCCGACCCGCACGAAAGGCGUAACGAUUUGGGCACUGUCUCAACAACAGACUCGGUGAAAUUGUAAUUCCGGUGAAGAUGCCGGAUACCUGCGACAGGACGGAAAGACCCCAUGGAGCUUUACUGUAGCUUGACAUUGGGUCUUGGUACUACAUGUACAGGAUAGGUGGGAGGCUUUGAAACCAGGACGCCAGUUUUGGCGGAGCCAUCCUUGGGAUACCACCCUUGUAGUACUGGGACUCUAACCAUAGGCCAUGAAUCUGGUCUUGGGACACUGUCAGGUGGGCAGUUUGACUGGGGCGGUCGCCUCCCAAAAGGUAACGGAGGCGCUCAAAGGUUCUCUCAGUACGGUCGGAAAUCGUACGUAGAGUGUAAAGGCAAAAGAGAGCUUGAUUGCAAGACAUACAGGUCGAGCAAGGAUGAAAAUCGGACUUAGUGAUCCGGUGGUUCUGCGUGGAAGGGCCAUCGCUCAACGGAUAAAAGCUACCCUGGGGAUAACAGGCUUAUCUCCCCCAAGAGUCCACAUCGACGGGGAGGUUUGGCACCUCGAUGUCGGCUCAUCACAUCCUGGGGCUGUAGUAGGUCCCAAGGGUUGGGCUGUUCGCCCAUUAAAGUGGUACGCGAGCUGGGUUCAGAACGUCGUGAGACAGUUCGGUCCCUAUCCGUCGCAGGCGUAGGAAAUUUGAGAAGACCUGUCCUUAGUACGAGAGGACCGGGAUGGACGUACCUCUGGUGUACCAGUUGUCCUGCCAAGGGCAUGGCUGGGUAGCUAUGUACGGAAUGGAUAAGCGCUGAAAGCAUCUAAGCGCGAAGUCAACUUCAAGAUAAGAUUUCCCACCGCAAGGGUAAGACCCCAGAAAGACUAUCUGGUUGAUAGGUCGAAGGUGUAAGUGCAGCAAUGUAUUUAGCUUAUCGAUACUAAUAGGUCGAGGACUUGACCAAU
rnacentral:rRNA from 1 species